AGAGUUUGAUCAUGGCUCAGGAUGAACGCUAGCGACAGGCUUAACACAUGCAAGUCGAGGGGCAGCACGGUGUAGCAAUACACGGGUGGCGACCGGCGCACGGGUGAGUCAACGCGUAUGCAACUUGCCUAUCAGAGGGGGAUAACCCGUCGAAAGACGGACUAAUACCGCAUGAAACAGGGGCCCCGCAUGGGGAUAUUUGUUAAAGAAAAUCGCUGAUAGAUAGGCAUGCGUUCCAUUAGGUAGUUGGCGGGGCAACGGCCCACCAAGCCGACGAUGGAUAGGGGUUCUGAGAGGAAGGUCCCCCACACUGGUACUGAGACACGGACCAGACUCCUACGGGAGGCAGCAGUGAGGAAUAUUGGUCAAUGGGCGAGAGCCUGAACCAGCCAAGUCGCGUGAGGGAUGACGGCCCUACGGGUUGUAAACCUCUUUUAUAAGGGGAUAAAGGACAUCACGUGUGGUGUUUUGCAUGUACCUUAUGAAUAAGCAUCGGCUAACUCCGUGCCAGCAGCCGCGGUAAUACGGAGGAUGCGAGCGUUAUCCGGAUUCAUUGGGUUUAAAGGGUGCGUAGGUCGCCGAUUAAGUCAGCGGUGAAAGUCAGUGGCUCAACCAUUGAACUGCCGUUGAAACUGGUUGGCUUGAGUACGUACGGGGCAGGCGGAAUGCGUGGUGUAGCGGUGAAAUGCAUAGAUAUCACGCAGAACCCCGAUCGCGAAGGCAGCCUGCCAGGCCGUGACUGACACUGAUGCACGAAAGCGUGGGUAUCGAACAGGAUUAGAUACCCUGGUAGUCCACGCAGUAAACGAUGAUCAUUAGCUGUUUGCGAUAGAAUGUAAGCGGCACAGCGAAAGCGUU
rnacentral:rRNA from 1 species